UUUGGCGACGUCCACAUUUUCGCUCUGCUGAUAAAGUUUGCCGACGGCUUCACUGAUGGCCGGAUGCCAGGUCACGGCGCGGUUAACCGCUUCAUUCAGCUGUAGCGUGCCGGGGGCGGCUUUGCUGGCUACGGGCGCCACGCGACCAUUUAAAGAGGGGAGUUCCUGCGUUUCGCUUAAUUGUCCGGUAUUAAUCAUCGCCGCAGGGUUUGCCGCGAUAGCGGGCACAGAUAUCAGGCAGCACGAGAGCCACCAGUAAGGCAUCUUCUUUCCCAUGUCUUGUCCCUAAUAAAAAAGUACUGCUUUUUUGUUUAUGCCCGGGCGCUGUGUGCGCCCGGGUCAUUUCU
rnacentral:sRNA from 1 species